AGUNAGUNUAUGGCCCUUACGGCCUGGGCUCACACGUGCUACAAUGGUCGGUACAGAGGGUUGCCAAGCCGCGAGGUGGAGCUAAUCCCACAAAACCGAUCGUAGUCCGGAUCGCAGUCUGCAACUCGACUGCGUGAAGUCGGAAUCGCUAGUAAUCGCGAAUCAGAAUGUCGCGGUGAAUACGUUCCCGGGCCUUGUACACACCGCCCGUCACACCAUGGGAGUGGGUUGCACCAGAAGUAGCUAGUCUAACCUUCGGGAGGACGGUUACCACGGUGUGAUUCAUGACUGGGGUGAAGUCGUAACAAGGUAGCCGUAGGGGAACCUGCGGUUGGAUCANANNCCC
rnacentral:rRNA from 1 species